rnacentral:ncRNA from 1 species
CAGUUGCCAUAACUCCGAGCUCUGCGGGCUAAGUUUGUAAAUAAAUAAGCGUGUAGAGCCAGUGACAAGUUGUCACAAGGGCAAGGUUGGAAAUGACGUUGCCUCCCGUGUUUGGAAAGGUGUUCCGUGGCGCAACAA